UUCGUUCCGCGAUCUUUGACGAAAAGGC
rnacentral:sRNA from 1 species